AGCGAACGCUGGCGGCAGGCCUAACACAUGCAAGUCGAACGAACCUUUCGGGGUUAGUGGCGGACGGGUGAGUAACACGUGGGAACGUGCCUUUAGGUUCGGCAUAACUCAGGGAAACUUGUGCUAAUACCGAAUGUGCCCUUCGGGGGAAAGAUUAAUCGCCUUUAGAGCGGCCCGCGUCUGAUUAGCUAGUUGGUUGAGGUAAUGGCUCACCAAGGCGACGAUCAGUAGCUGGUCUGAGAGGAUGAUCCGCCACAUUGGGACUGAGACACGGCCCAAACUCCUACGGGAGGCAGCAGUGGGGAAUCUUGCGCAAUGGGCGAAAGCCUGACGCAGCCAUGCCGCGUGAAUGAUGAAGGUCUUAGGAUUGUAAAAUUCUUUCACCGGGGACGAUAAUGACGGUACCCGGAGAAGAAGCCCCGGCUAACUUCGUG
rnacentral:rRNA from 1 species